UCACUUCCGCAGUGCACAGACCAAAACUGGAACAACACAGAGAAGAUUAGCAUGGCCCCUGUGCGAGAAGGACUUGCAAAUUCGUGAUGCGUUCCAUAUUUAU
ensembl:snRNA U6 U6 spliceosomal RNA